AUAAGAUCUCGCUGUGGUUGCUUUCUCUCAUUCAUCUUAUCUUCUUUAUCUCUCCAACUACUCGUUUCUGGUGGUCGCCGCCAAUGUGGCGAGCUCGUCACCAUGGCCGCCGGCGACUCGAUGCGCCUCGUGUGCAUCGAUGGCGCGGGAUGCACCCCCUCUCCAUGGCCGCUCACAGCCACGGGCGCACUCGUCUCCUUGUCCGCCUCCGCCAGGAGCUGGAUGUGCGCCCUCUCCAUGGCCGCCAAAGCCAGGGUGUGCCAGUCGCCAUGGCCAAGCUGCAACCGGCCACGGGGGCGGCGAGUUCGUGCUGGAACCGAGGGGAUUUGCUAGAACCAGCUGUUGUACAUGCUACAAGGUCGAUGCCUCGCCGGAGGAAGCUACAUCCAGCGGUGAAGAGUGUUGCAUCCAACGCCAUUCGAUGUCGGGAGCUGCAAGCGUGCACGUCGGAGCUGCGACCGGCUACUAGUGGAGCUGCAAGAGGGGAGGCCAUUUUUUGUGGAUGUGUUCUCGUUUUGCCGAACCAAUUAUGCUUUUGCUGGAACCGAUGUAUUUUUUUACUGGAACCGAGAUAAUUUUUUGCUUCAACUAUUGCACAGCUCUUAAAUGCUCAUGUCGUUUUUUGCUGGGACCUAAGUUUGUUUGUGCCGGAAGCAUUUCUGAUUUUGCUUCAACUGACCACUCUACUUUGACCCGCGGAGAAAAAUUUUGCUGCUUCCAAUUUUUGCUGCUUGGCACUCUGACCCCGGCGGGCGGGAGACGCAGAGAUGCUACAACUAGCCACCCGAGCGCUAUUAUCACUGAAAGCUGAAUCUAGCAAUUUGUUCUGUAAUCAUCAUCUUUUUUUAACUGAAAACAGCUCCAAUUUUUGCUUUCACCAUGUUCUGUUUUUGUUGGAUCCAGCUAUAUUUUUUGCUUUCACCAUGACGAUAACUGCCAGCAACACGGCGACCGGCGGCCGGCAAUGACGACGGCGACCGGCGACCGGCGGGGAGGGCAGCAACAGGCGAGUGCGCCGGGCGGUGCUUCAAGGCUGGGCGCAUAGCUCAUCCAUGGAGGCACGAUGGAACUUUUUUUUUGUAAAAGAAGAAGCCUGACGAAAGAAGAUGAGGGAGUCGUACGGCUACACGUUAUUUUAUCGAACGAUGCUGGUACGACCGGCUCAAAGUUGGGCCUAGUAGUGCCCUAUUUUAUUCAUUACUACG
rnacentral:rRNA from 1 species